AACGAACGCUGGCGGCAUGCCUAGCACAUGCAAGUCGAACGAGACCUUCGGGUCUAGUGGCGCACGGGUGCGUAACGCGUGGGAACCUGCCCUUAGGUUCGGAAUAACUCCCCGAAAGGGGUGCUAAUACCGGAUAAUGUCUUCGGACCAAAGAUUUAUCGCCUUUGGAUGGGCCCGCGUUGGAUUAGCUAGUUGGUAGGGUAAAAGCCUACCAAGGCGACGAUCCAUAGCUGGUCUGAGAGGAUGAUCAGCCACACUGGGACUGAGACACGGCCCAGACUCCUACGGGAGGCAGCAGUGGGGAAUAUUGGACAAUGGGCGAAAGCCUGAUCCAGCAAUGCCGCGUGAGUGAUGAAGGCCUUAGGGUUGUAAAGCUGUUUUACCCGGGAUGAUAAUGACAGUACCGGGAGAAUAAGCUCCGGCUAACUCCGUG
rnacentral:rRNA from 1 species